rnacentral:rRNA from 1 species
CGGGUGAGUAAUGCCUAGGAAUCUGCCUGGUAGUGGGGGAUAACGCUCGGAAACGGACGCUAAUACCGCAUACGUCCUACGGGAGAAAGCAGGGGACCUUCGGGCCUUGCGCUAUCAGAUGAGCCUAGGUCGGAUUAGCUAGUUGGUGAGGUAAUGGCUCACCAAGGCGACGAUCCGUAACUGGUCUGAGAGGAUGAUCAGUCACACUGGAACUGAGACACGGUCCAGACUCCUACGGGAGGCAGCAGUGGGGAAUAUUGGACAAUGGGCGAAAGCCUGAUCCAGCCAUGCCGCGUGUGUGAAGAAGGUCUUCGGAUUGUAAAGCACUUUAAGUUGGGAGGAAGGGCAUUAACCUAAUACGUUGGUGUCUUGACGUUACCGACAGAAUAAGCACCGGCUAACUCUGUGCCAGCAGCCGCGGUAAUACAGAGGGUGCAAGCGUUAAUCGGAAUUACUGGGCGUAAAGCGCGCGUAGGUGGUUUGUUAAGUUGGAUGAGAAAUCCCCGGGCUCAACCUGGGAACUGCACUCAAAACUGACAAGCUAGAGUAUGGUAGAGGGUGGUGGAAUUUCCUGUGUAGCGGUGAAAUGCGUAGAUAUAGGAAGGAACACCAGUGGCGAAGGCGACCACC